CAACAUUAGUGUAAUAUGUAUUUGUCGUUUACAAAUCUUCUUGAAUUAUGUUAAAACUUUUUGAGACUUAUAUAACCUUCAAUCUUGUUUCAAUGUUAUUUCAAUUGAAAUGUGUGCAAAGACUAUGUUAAAUGCAAUUAUUGCAACAACAAAAAACACAAAAAAAACUUAUUUGAUCAUGAUAGAAAAUAUAAACAGCUGCGCCAUGAGCGCAUGAUACGCCCG
rnacentral:lncRNA from 1 species